rnacentral:lncRNA from 1 species
GAGUCUGGAGCCUGCUUAGGGUUCUGUGUCUCCCUCUCUCUCUGCCCCUCCACCGUUCACUCUCUCUCUCUCUCUCUCUCAAAAAUAAAGGUUAAAAAUAAAAAAAUACAUGUUUUCAAGUAAAAUUGAUAACCCAACAAUUAAAUUUUAUAUCACAUUAUAAAGGUAAUAUCACAUCAAAGGAAAUCCUUUCCUAUAAACUGUGAUAGAAUCUAAUUGAUAAUGAUGAAUCAAAACAGGCAUGUUGAAUUUCCUUUAUUUAUCUCAGUUUAAUACAGAGUCAGUAUUUUUGAAGACAUUUUAAAAUUUUUCAUGUCAGGGAAACAUGAAGAGAAUGCAAAUGAAAUAGAGUGAUGUAGCCAAUAGAUGAAAAAUUCCUCAGUAGAAGCCAUGGGACCAGUAUCUUCCAUAGCACAACGGGCGGCAGCAGCCAUAACCAUAGCCACCAUAGCCACGGCCAUAGCCACAACCCAGGCCACCAUAGCCAUAGCCCAGGCCACCAUAAUAGUUGCCGUAAUAGCACAUGGUGUCAGGAGCAGAGGGUUCAGUUGAGGAGCAGAAUCAGUUCCUGGAGUUUGAAUUUCAUAAUCUGCACAGGGCCUUUUAUACAACCUGAGUGGUAUGUGGGUAAACCACAGGCAGAAUUGACUCAUUUCCAAACAAAUGACAUUAAAAAAAAUCUGAAGAAUUCCUUAUAACCAAUAUAUUGGGGACUCUAUUGCUGUAGUGUCAUGUGCCUUUAAAACAAAACUUGUUUCCUAAUUACACAGUGUUUGCUUACUUGAGAACCCAGCUUCUAAGAGAUAUUAUGAGCAAGGCUAUAAUGUUGUUAUUUGAUUUGAAAAAAUAUUUGAAGGUUUUUUUUUUCUUUUUCAAUGUUUAUUUUUGAGAGAGAGAGAGAGCACAAGCAGGGGAGGGGCAGAGAGAGAGGGAGACACAGAAUCUGAAGCAGGCUCCAGGCUCUGAGCUGUCCAGACAGAGCCCGAUGUGGGGCUCAGACUCACAACCCUUGAGAUCAUGACCUGAGCCCAAGUUGGAUGCUUAACCGACUGAGCCACCCAGGCACUUUCGAUUUGAAUUUUUUAAAGUUUUUAUUUAAAUUCCAGUUAGUUAACAGACAGUGUAAUAUUAGUUCCAGGUGUACAAGAUAGUAAUUCAACACUUCUAUACAGCAUCUGGUGCUCAUCACAAUUGUGCUCCUUAAUCCCAAUCACCUAUUGCAUCCACCUCCCCUCUGGUAACCAUAGAUUUGAUUUUUAAAAGGUAAGAUAGGUAGCUCCUUUUUUUAAACUUAUUUAGGGAAAAUUGACAAAUAUAAUGGUAUACAUUUAAAGUGUACAACGUGAUGCUUCGAUACACAUAUUCAUUGUGGAAUAAUUACCACGAUCAGGAUAACUAGCAUGUUUACAUGUCUAUCAUCUUACAUCGUUAACUCUUUGUGUGUGUGUGUGUGUGUGUGUGUGUGUGUGUGUGGUAAUGAAACUGCUGUAGAAAUGUAAAGAUAGAUGGAAAUUAAGAUGGACACCCUACUGUUUCAGCAAGACUUGACUUU